UCAGAUGCACUACGUAACCAUGGUGACCGGGUAGACAAGGGGAGAAUGCAGCCCUGAACAGACAAGCAUUCAUGUUCUGACCAGCCAGCACGUCCACAGCAGAAUUCAAGUCUGAUAGCAGAUGGAAGAAAAGACCUGCGGUAUCUCUCUGUCGCACACCUUGGAUGCACCAGUCUGUCGCUGAUGGAGCUGCUCAGUACUGACAGUGUGUCCUGUAAGGGGUGGGAGAUGUCCUCCAGCAGGGAAUGCAGCUUAGCCAACGUUCUCCUGACCACCUCCACCGAGUCAAGGGGACCUCCCAAGACAGAGCUGGCUUUUUUAAUCAGCCUGCUCAGUGUUUUCCUCUCCCCAGCAGAGAUGCUGCUGCCCCAGCAGACCACAACAUAGAAGAUGACUGAUGCCGCCACAGAAUCGUAAAAGACGAUGCUUGACCAACCACUGACAUCCACCCCAAAGGUCGAAAGUCAGACGCAUGACUGUUUAAUUUCACCAAACGAUCCACGUUCACUAGGAGCCAUCCAGAACAAGGCCCUCUUACAGAAGGCCAUGGAAACUUCCACCAAACCCCCCCCCCCCUUUUCAGGCAAGGCACAUGAUUUGACGCAAUCACUGUUUCAUGCUUCAAAGUUUAGGGAAACACCUACAUGCUUUUAUAGAACUGAUGAUAGAGAAAUCUCUUUUCACACCAGUUAAUUUAGCCUGGAAGCUUUUUAUACUGUGUGUGUUUUCGUAGCGAGAGACGCAUCCUUCAUGGGGCUGAGUGACUGUUGCCAGUCUGUAAGUACAGUAGUUCAGAUGCCUGUUGUGCUCCCAACUCAUACUCGCAAUAAGGAAAAGCAACUACAGAACUUCACUUACCUCAGAGGAAAGGCAUUGUUUUCUUUCUUUUUGCUGCAGGCUAAGUUUAAAAUCACUUGUAUUGUCUUAUUAACUUUUCCACACUUUUUUUUACCUCAUGACUGACGGGCUCCUUUCAUGUGUUCGAUUGACAGCAGUGCCUUGUGAUUAAUGUUAUUUACCAUAAAGGGUUUUAUUUGGUGAUUUACUUUACUGUCUUCUAUACCCAGAACUACAUCUGGGUCUUAGGCUCGUCUAUACCUAGUACUACAUUUCAUCAAUGUGAAGGUGACAAGCAUACACCGAAAGACAGACGCAAGCUCACAGUGAUAAUGCUAAAAUUGCCCCACCAAGGGAAGUGUCAGCCUGUGUCAUUGGAUGGGUCACAUAACCCGAGAAUCAGAGGUGACCAAUCAAGAGGAAGACACAAGCAGAACAUUACAAGCUGCAUGACACAUAUACAUGUUAAUGACAUAAAUGGCAUCCAGUGACCAGUAAACAUUGAUU